AACGAACGCUGGCGGCAGGCUUAACACAUGCAAGUCGAACGCUUCGCCUUCGGGUGGGGAGUGGCAGACGGGUGAGUAACGCGUGGGAACGUACCCUUUGGUUCGGGAUAACCCAGGGAAACUUGGGCUAAUACCGGAUACGUCCUUCCCUUUAGGGGGUUGGAGAAAGAUUUAUCGCCGAAGGAUCGGCCCGCGUCGGAUUAGCUAGUUGGUGGGGCAAAGGCCUACCAAGGCGACGAUCCGUAGCUGGUCUGAGAGGAUGANCAGCCACACUGGGACUGAGACACGGCCCAGACUCCUACGGGAGGCAGCAGUGGGGAAUAUUGGACAAUGGGCGCAAGCCUGAUCCAGCCAUGCCGCGUGAGUGAAGAAGGCCUUAGGGUUGUAAAGCUCUUUCAGCGGGACGAUAAUGACGGUACCCGCAGAAGAACGCCCGGCUAACUUCGUGCCAGCAGCCGCCGU
rnacentral:rRNA from 1 species